AUAAAAUGAAUCAUGGAACUUGGAUACCGACCGAGAAACUGGGGAACAGAAUCUAACGCUGGGAGAACAACAGACAGGGCAGAGGUAGGACCCUACCUCCCUCUGCGUUCCUGCCUGCCCUGCCGUCUCGCCUGCCCUGCCUACCUCGCUGACCCUACCUCCGUCUGCGUCCCUCCCUGCCCUGCCGUCUCUCCUGUCCUGCCUGCCUCGCUGACCCUACCUCCGUCUGCGUUCCUGCCUGCCCUGCCAUCUCGCCUGCCCUGCCUGCCUCGCUGACCCUACCUCCGCCUGCGUCCCUGCCUGCCCUGCCGUCUCGCCUGCCCUGUCUGCCUCGCUGACCCUACCUCCGUCUGCGUCCCUGCCUGCCCUGCCGUCUCGCCUGCCCUGCCUGCCUCGCUGACCCUACCUCCCUCUGCGUUCCUCCCUGCCCUCCUUGCCUUCCUCAUCUUAUCUCCCCGAUCUAUCCUCCUCGUCUUUCCCCAUCCUCUCGUCGCCUCAUCUCAUCCCUCCACAUAGGACUGACCCUUUAGGAUAACGACCCACGGACCCGGACCCGACCUUUCCUUUGGAUUUCCCUACUGGCUUUUGGUGUACCCGGCUCUGUAAAUAAACAGCACUUGCUCUACA